rnacentral:sRNA from 1 species
AAAAGUGGUAACACAGAGAUAUCUUUAGGUUCAUCAUCAGAUCGAAGCAAUAAUCCAUUAUCGUUGUGCAGGUAAAGCAUUUGAUCAAUUUACAAAAACACAAUUUUAAAUUCUGGCUUCUCUCCAAUAAUGGAAUCCUACCACAGCUUAGAAAUUAUUAGGAAAAUGAAUGUGGCCGAGGUGAACCAAAACACAACGAGUUGACUACCCAAUGCCGCCGAUAGUUGACUGCCCAAUGCCAUCGCUAGUUAACAUAGCUCUCAAAAACCGAAUCCCAAGUGAAAACAAAAUUGAAGGGAAAAAAGAAAAAAAGAUAUGGGGAUUUCUUAACCCUUUUCUGCGUCUGAUAGGAGUUAAAAAACCCUAGUAUUAAUCAAUUUCUAACUGGAC